rnacentral:rRNA from 1 species
GCGUUGCUCGGAAUUACUGGGCGUAAAGCGCACGUAGGCGGCUUUGUAAGUUAGAGGUGAAAGCCCGGAGCUCAACUCCGGAAUAGCCUUUAAGACUGCAUCGCUAGAACGUUGGAGAGGUGAGUGGAAUUCCGAGUGUAGAGGUGAAAUUCGUAGAUAUUCGGAAGAACACCAGUGGCGAAGGCGACUCACUGGACAACUGUUGACGCUGAGGUGCGAAAGCGUGGGGAGCAAACAGG